ensembl:lncRNA
AAUCAAUUUUUAUCUGAUUACAAAUUAUAAUCCGUUGCUCUUUUGCAAAUUAGCAGUCGUGGGUCGAACUCUUUUGUGUUUCCUUUGCCGUGACCUUCCAGGGUGAUCAAUGUGCUGUUCUUCUUUCAAAAAGCCAAAGGUCAUUGCACUGCACACGUUGUAGAAAAUAAAUGAGUUUAUUUGUUACAUGUUUGAGAUGAUUGCUACCAAGUCGGAACAAGAACCUAAACAUUAAACAAGAGCUCUUCAUUAACCACACACAGAGCCUACGGUGAGCUAACAGAAUACUGGGCGUAGAAACUUUUCAGAGGACUUAUUCCACGCUUACUUCUUACCAUUUCAAAUGUCAGUCAUGUUGUGUUACUAUCUGAAUAAACCAAGGUACCUUAUUGUCUAAACGAUUAACAGUGAUCUUCAAACACUAGAUAGAGAAUAGCCCACAGCCAGGAGGACGCUUUGGGGAGUGAUUCUAUACAGGUUUCAUAUCCGGGCAGGACCACUUUACCCUUAAGUUCCCCUCAGCUCGAUGUACACAACACUUAAAACAAAACCACUUAAAACAAAACCACAGUUCAUGUGCAAAAGGCAGCGAACAAGAUGACCACCAAGCCAAACGAGAUGACCACCAACCCAAACGCGCCCUUGGAGAUCCACCACCACCAUGCUCCCAGUGAGGUCCUCAUCGCCGGCUGAUUCACAUGCACGCUGCUAGUGUGCACGUUAGCGUCUGUUCCUCACCUUCCACUUGACCAGCAGUACCUCCUCCGACCAGAAGGGGCUCCUUCCUGAACCUCUUCCUGGUUCGCUGGUUUGGGUUCAAGUCUCACAGGGGGAGUCUGUUAAAAAUGGCAUUGCGAUAAAGAAAGAUACGAAUAAAGAACUGAUCCGUUGAAUCCACUCGAGAGAGCCGGGUGGGCCUCUGAGUGAGGAAGUUCUUGGGGAGGUUGUGGGCAUGUCCACGCAGACCCAGGUGUGACGGACAGAAACAUGUGACCAGGAAGUCAGUGCCUCAUCACAGGCUUAAAACUUAAACCUAAAAACCAAACAUAGAAAUUAGAAAAUAAACUGAACUCUUGUUGCAUAAGUUGUAGGCCAGAAGGGGUUUGAAUACACAAACAUGACUUAGGUUAUACCGAGUAUGACGAGAAUUUAAGCAAACUUAACAGGUGUGUCGGGAACAGGUAUCUAAUGCAACGUUAUCUCCUCCGAGGACGCCAUUUUGGCGGGGGUCCUCAAAGUUUUCUAACACUUAUGCCAGCUCUACAACUUUAAAGUCCUCAAACUCUUAAGCUAGCUUGUUAAGAUAAAGGUCCUCAAACUCUUAAGCUAUCUUGUCAAGAUGAAGGUCUCCAGAAUCUUCCCAGGAUGGCUCCAAACCGUUUCACCACGGUUUUCCGUCGCAAAUAGAAACUGCUUAGAAAAGGGUUUUGCCAAAACAUUGAAAACAUGAAGGAGUAUUUACAUCCCACGAAAGACGUCUGUGAUCAAGGUUGAAGUAACAUCUGCUAAGGUAAAGACAUUUGAGAAGAAUCAAUGUCUAUAGAUUUGAAGUAUAAAUAUUAAUUCAUUUACAAUGUGUUUGUACACUACUAUAUAACCUCUAUGAUUUCUCGUGUGCAGAUCAGGUACACAGGCAAUACGUUUAGUAAAAAAUAUAUGCUCUUUCUGUUGACGAAUACCAUCUUAUUAACGUCACCCUGCAGGCGGGAGCCCAGGAGGAGACCAGCGUCUACAACAGCACCCAGGGGUGCUACAGCAGCAUCCAGUGUCUACAGCAGCACCCAGAGUCUACAGCAGCACCCAGUGUCUACAGCAGCACCCAGGGGUGCUACAGCAGCAUCCAGUGUCUACAGCAGCACCCAGAGUCUACAGCAGCACCCAGUGUCUACAGCAGCACCCAGGGGUGCUACAGCAGCACCCACCCAGAGUCUACAGCAGCACCCACCCAGUGUCUACAGCAGCACCCACCCAGAGUCUACAGCAGCACCCAGAGUCUACAGCAGCACCCAGAGUCUACAGCAGCACCCACCCAGUGUCUACAGCAGCACCCACCCAGAGUCUACAGCAGCACCCAGUCUGCAGCCGUCCACCGUGGAGCCUUCACUACCAUCAGAGGCAUCUAUCCAAAGGGACUGACCGCAGGUCAUUAAGGAGAGGGAGGGGUCCGGGGGAGGGGUCAGGGGUCAUUAAGGAGAGGGAGGGGUCAGGGGUCAUUAAGGAGAGGGAGGGGUCAGGGGUCAUGAAGGAGAGGGGGGGGUCCGGGAGGGGUCAUUAAGGAGAGGGAGGGGUCAAGGGUCAUUAAGGAGAGGGAGGGGUCAGGGGUCAUUAAGGAGAGGGAGGGGUCAGGGGUCACUAAGGAGAGGGAGGGGUCAGGGGUCAUUAAGGAGAGGGAGGGGUCAGGGGUCAUUAAGGAGAGGGAGGGGUCGGGGGAGGGGUCAGGGGUCAUGAAGGAGAGGGAGGGGUCAGGGGGACGGGUCAGGGGUCAUUAAGGAGAGGGAGGGGUCAGGGGUCAUUAAGGAGAGGGAGGGGUCGGGGGAGGGGUCAUUAAGGAGAGGGAGGGGUUGGGGGUCAUGAAGGAGAGG